rnacentral:rRNA from 1 species
AACGAACGCUGGCGGCGUGGAUAAGACAUGCAAGUCGGACGAGAUUUUCCGUUGUAGCAAUACGAUGGAAAGUCUAGUGGCGAACGGGUGCUUAACACGUGGGCAACCUGCCAGGAAGUGGGGGAUAGCUCGCCGAAAGGCGAAUUAAUACCGCAUGUGAUUAGAGAGGACAUCCUUUCGAAAUUAAAGUCGGGGCAACCUGACGCUUCUUGUGGGGCCCGCGGCCUAUCAGCUAGUUGGUGGGGUAAAGGCUCACCAAGGCUUUGACGGGUAGCUGGUCUGAGAGGACGACCAGCCACACUGGGACUGAGACACGGCCCAGACACCUACGGGUGGCAGCAGUCGAGAAUUUUUGACAAUGGGGAAACCCUGAUCGAGCGACGCCGCGUGGAGGAUGAAGGUCUUCGGAUUGUAAACUCCUGUCAUUGGGGAACAAGGUGCAUACGUUAACUGCGUGUGCAUUGAUAGUACCCGAAGAGGAAGAGACGGCUAACUCUGUGCCAGCAGCCGCCGUAACAC